rnacentral:sRNA from 1 species
CUCCAUGAGAUGGCAGUAUAACCACAGUAAAUAUUUCUUCAUACACAUUUAUACAUAUGAGUGAAUACAUAUUUACUGUGGUUAUACUGCCAUCUCAUGGAGAAAUAGAAGAAUGCUUAUGAAUGAAAUUUAUAAAAUCCAGAUGCAUUAUUCACAUAUUAAAAAAUAUACUUUAUAACUUUAUUAAAAAAUUCAUACAUGAUCAUAACAGAAAAUGUUAAUUUCCUAGAAAA